AGCUGCGGCGAUCCUACGCGACCAGGUCUGCCGCAGAGCCGAGCGAGCGUCCGAGCGCUCAGCGGACAACAGCACGGAGCCAGCGGCUGACAACGACCCGGCGAGGUACGACUUCAGGGCUUACAACUGCAGCCUGGACCAAACAACGUCACAACGACAUUUAUGAAGCUUUCAAGGCCUUUUGAUUGAUCAGCCAAUCGAUGGGGAUUUUCAGAGGAGCUCCGCCCACUGCCGCCGCCUGCCCUCCUCCCCCCUCCCCCCGCGCCCCCACCUACUCCGUCAUCCAGCCUUCCAUCCAGCCCUCCAUACACAAAAUGACUCUGGAACUCACUGAAUGGUCUUCUAUAUGGAUUUUUACUGCUUGUAAUAGACAGUAAAAAAAGGAAAAAAAAAAAAAGAAAAAAA